GUACAAGCUCUCGCCUGCCGCCAUGUAAACGUUCUUUGCUCCUGCUUCGUCUUCUGCCGUGAUUGUGAGGCCUCCCCAGCCAUGUGGAACUACUCAUCACUCACUGCAGAUGUUACUUUAAGACAUUCUGGAGCAGCGUCAUGUGCAGGUGCGUAGUGCCUCCGCCCAUCUCUCUCUUGCUCCUGGUCUCAUCGUGACGGGCCUGGUCCUGCCUCACUUUAUGCCACGACUAAGAGCUCCCUGAGGCCUCUCCAGAAGCAGAUAUCACUAUGCUUCCUACACAGCCUGCAGAACCGAACAAUAAGGAAGUGAGUGCUUUUGUAAUUCCUGAACAACUGUGUCUUACACUUACUAAGUUCUCUUGCCUGCCACCAUGUAAGAUAUGCUUUUACUCUUCCGCCUUCCACCGUGACUGUGAGGCCUCCCCAGCCAUGUGAAACUGCCUUUGAGCUUAUACUGAAUUAUACCACCAGCUUUCCUAGGUCUUGAAGCUUACAGACAGCAGAUCUUGGGACUUCUCAGGCACCAUAAUCAAUCAUAGAUAAAUGAUCCAAUGAUUCGGAACUUGAAAAGUGGUAGCUUUAUGAAUUCUCCUUAAGAAGAAACCUGUGCCCUGAUCUUGCCUACUCACCCAAAGGCACUGUGAGAUAGCAUCAAAGGAACAGCUAGUAAGAGACACAGAGCCAGAAAUCAGGGAAGUAAAAUACACUUGACAUCUACGUUCGGAAAGAAAUUUUAGGAGGCAGAAGCAAAUGGAUCAGAAGCUGCUUAUAUUUUUGCAAGAUUACCAAAGAAACCAUUGGUGGAGAAAGUUCUGUGACCAACUUGUCUGAGUCUAGUAAGAUUGAACGCUCACACACAAGUUUCAUGAAGUGGGUUUGAUACUUACAGAUAAGCAGCAAGGACCAACAGAAGCUGAUGAUCUAUGGUGAACUUUUUCCCAAGGCUCCGGAAAGCUGCCUAAAGUAGAUGGAGUCUUCUCUGUGUGUGCCCCACUGGUCCUGCAGUUGAAGGAUCCGGUAAAGCAGCCUGCCCUUGGUUUUAUACUCCAGAGGAACGUGAUUCGCUGGACUAAAGCAUUGAAGUGCAUCCUGUUUCCGGGGGGCACUGGAACAGAGCCUGGUCUGUUCUAGCCAGUCCCUUUCUAUCUCAGGAUAACAUUCUACAGUUAUUCUUGAGAACUAUAAUCAAAUAAGCAGGGAGAACUGGGUAAGUCCAAGGCUUAUCUAUACAAGCCUUUAAAUAUUCAAGACCAAAAAAAAAAAAAAAAAAAAAAAAAAAAG
rnacentral:lncRNA from 1 species